UUAUAGAAUGGCCUCGUCGGCUUGUUUCUACGAUCAAUGACAAACAAGAGCAUUCAACUAGGAAGGAUGUCGUAUACCCUUCAAAUUAUACUGACGUUAACGGGAUUAUUAAGCUUUUAAAUAGACAUGCCAUGAACAACAUGGAGGAUGUAGACAUGAUUCGCAUCCCAAUGAACGAGCUAAUAUUUGGAAGUGACAAAUUUGUUUAUUUAGCUCGUGAAGAUUUGUUGCAUUACUGCGGCAUGGUUGAAAUCGGCUAUAUGUGUAUACUAGCGUAUAUUACAUGUCUUUGGGAUAAAUGUGACUGUGCAAAGAAUUUUUUUGUCAUUGACCAAUCAAAAAUAUCGUCACAUAUCAAAGAUCGUGAUCUUCGAUCCAGAAAUUUAGCCAACCAGCUAGAAGCAGUUAACUUGGAACAGAAAGUGCUAAUUCCAUAUAA